ACACAAUCUUAAAAUCUUUUCAUAUUAGAAAAUUUCUACAAGCUUUUUUUCAAUCCUAUAAAAAAACAAAGGAAUCUAUUUUAUGGACUGGAUUGUAUCUCGUUCCUUUUCCCUCUCCCGGCUGCACGCAGUUUAAUAGUUGUCAGUUUUUCUGAAGUGGUAGAUUUAACAAUAUAAGACCUAAAUAUUUCUCCAGUAGAUUAGCUUGUUAAAUAUUCUGUCACUUUUGCGAUUCCUUCCUUGAGAAAUAGCUUAAUUACAGGAAUCUGUCU
rfam:Procavia capensis cont1.1648, whole genome shotgun sequence.